AAAUUAUCCAACAAGACAUCUUUGCAAGCUAAGGGUUUCUGAUCCGUACCGCUUGUUUGCGAGAAGCAGUGCAAAUCAGAAACCCUUGGCUAGCAAAGAUGCCAACAAGAUGAAAAAUA
rnacentral:precursor_RNA from 10 species